rnacentral:lncRNA from 1 species
AGGCGUGUGGGUGGGGGAGGUACGGAUGGUGUGCGUGCAGGGCAGAUCCGUGAGACUUGAUUAUGGCAGUUAUUAUUGUCAGUACUGCUAAUUGCGUUUGGAAUUAGUCGUCAAAAUAUUACAUGUGUCUAGACGUUUUUAUACAUAGAUACAUCCGUAUUUGGAUAAAUUUGAGAUAAGGAAUACCGAUCAGAAGGAGUAAUAUAAUUUUUUUGGCUGCCGAGAGGAGAUUUAGUGCGACAAGUAAUUGCGCAGAUGUGUUUUUUUUUUCAUCCUUGUACUACGUUGUCAACAAGGG